UGAUGUAGCAUCCACAUUGUAUGCGCUGUGUAAAUCAGAGCCACACACAGUGUGUACAAUGCAGGUUCUAUAUAG